rnacentral:rRNA from 1 species
GGCCGCGGUAAUUUGACCGUGCAAAGGUAGCAUAAUCAUUAGUUUUUUAAUUGAAAGCUUGUAUGAAAGGUUUGAUGAGAAAAUUACUGUCUCUAAUUGAAUAUUAGAAUUUUAUUUUUAAGUAAAAAAGCUUAAAUAAUUGUUGAAGACGAGAAGACCCUAUAGAAUUUUAUUUAUUUUUAAAUCAAUUAUAUUAAGAAUUAAAAAGAUUUAUUUAAAAAUAAAUUUAGUUGGGGUGAUUGAAAAAUUAAAUAAACUUUUUUUAGUAUUUUUACAUUUAUUUAUGAGUUUUUGAUCCUAUUUUAGAUUAAAAGAUUAAAUUACCUUAGGGAUAACAGCGUAAUCUUUUUUAGAGUUCUUAUUGAAAAAAGGGAUUGCGACCUCGAUGUUGGAUUAAAUUAAAUUAUUGGUGUAGGGGCUAAUAAAUUAGGUCUGUUCGACCUUUAAAAUUUUACAUGAUCUGAGUUUAAACCGGCGUAAG